rnacentral:rRNA from 1 species
AUUGAACGCUGGCGGCAGGCUUAACACAUGCAAGUCGAGCGGAGUGAUGGUGCUUGCACUAUCACUUAGCGGCGGACGGGUGAGUAAUGCUUAGGAAUCUGCCUAUUAGUGGGGGACAACAUCUCGAAAGGGAUGCUAAUACCGCAUACGUCCUACGGGAGAAAGCAGGGGAUCACUUGUGACCUUGCGCUAAUAGAUGAGCCUAGGUUGGAUUAGCUAGUUGGUGGGGGGAAGGCCUACCAAGGCGACGAUCUGUAGCGGGUCUGAGAGGAUGAUCCGCCACACUGGGACUGAGACACGGCCCAGACUCCUACGGGAGGCAGCAGUGGGGAAUAUUGGACAAUGGGGGGACACCUGAUCCAGCCAUGCCGCGUGUGUGAAGAAGGCCUUAUGGUUGUAAAGCACUUUAAGCGAGGAGGAGGCUCUUUUGGUUAAUACCCAAGAUGAGUGGACGUUACUCGCAGAGUAAGCACCGGCUAACUCUGUGCCAGCCGCCGCAGUAA